rnacentral:rRNA from 1 species
GUGGGGAAUUUUGGACAAUGGGCGCAAGCCUGAUCCAGCAAUGCCGCGUGCAGGAAGAAGGCCUUCGGGUUGUAAACUGCUUUUGUACGGAACGAAACGGUCCUGGUUAAUACCUGGGGCUAAUGACGGUACCGUAAGAAUAAGCACCGGCUAACUACGUGCCAGCAGCCGCGGUAAUACGUAGGGUGCGAGCGUUAAUCGGAAUUACUGGGCGUAAAGCGUGCGCAGGCGGCUAUGCAAGACAGAUGUGAAAUCCCCGGGCUCAACCUGGGAACUGCAUUUGUGACUGCAUGGCUAGAGUGCGUCAGAGGGAGGUGGAAUUCCGCGUGUAGCAGUGAAAUGCGUAGAUAUGCGGAGGAACACCGAUGGCGAAGGCAAUCCCCUGGGCCUGCACUGACGCUCAUGCACGAAAGCGUGGGGAGCAAACAGGAUUAGAUAUCCCAGUAGUCC